rnacentral:rRNA from 1 species
UACGAAGGGUGCAAACGUUGCUCGGAAUUACUGGGCGUAAAGCGCACGUAGGCGGCUUUGUAAGUCGGAUGUGAAAUCCCUCGGCUUAACCAAGGAAGUGCAUCCGAAACUACAGAGCUUGAGUACUUAAGAGGAUCGCGGAAUUCCCGGUGUAGAGGUGAAAUUCGUAGAUAUCGGGAGGAACACCAGUGGCGAAGGCGGCGAUCUGGGAAGAUACUGACGCUGAGGUGCGAAAGCGUGGGGAGCAAACAGG